rnacentral:rRNA from 1 species
GACGAACGCUGGCGGCGUGCCUAAUACAUGCAAGUCGAACGCAGUGGGGACGGGUGAGUAACACGUGGGUAACCUCCCAUCAGAGGGGAUAACACUUGGAAACCGGUGCUCAACCGAUACUGGUGGAUUGACCCUCGGUUCAGUAUCUAGGUGGUGAGGGAACGGCUCACCAAGGCCACGAUGCAUAACCGACCUGAGAGGGUGAUCGGCCACACUGGGACUGAGACACGGCCCAGACUCCUACGGUAGGCAGCAGUAGGGAAUCUUCGGCAAUGGACGAAAGUCUGACCGAGCAACGCCGCGUGAGUGAAGAAGGUUUUCGGAUCGUAAAACUCUUUUGUUAGAGAAGCGGUAUCUAAACAGAAAGCCACGGCUAACUACGUGCCAGCAGCCGCGGUAAUAC